rnacentral:siRNA from 1 species
ACUGGGGCUUUUAUAAUAUUGGG